UUUGAUCCUGGCUCAGGAUGAACGCUAGCUACAGGCUUAACACAUGCAAGUCGAGGGGCAGCAUGGGAUUAGCUUGCUAAUCCCGAUGGCGACCGGCGCACGGGUGAGUAACGCGUAUCCAACCUUCCCCUUACUCUGGGAUAGCCCGGUGAAAACCGGAUUAACACCGGAUGGUUUCAUUAGAUGGCAUCUGACGAUGAAUAAAGGCUUACGGUAAGGGAUGGGGAUGCGUCUGAUUAGCUUGUUGGCGGGGUAACGGCCCACCAAGGCAACGAUCAGUAGGGGUUCUGAGAGGAAGGUCCCCCACAUUGGAACUGAGACACGGUCCAAACUCCUACGGGAGGCAGCAGUGAGGAAUAUUGGUCAAUGGGCGAGAGCCUGAACCAGCCAAGUAGCGUGCAGGACGACGGCCCUAUGGGUUGUAAACUGCUUUUGUGCGGGAAUAAAGUCAGGGACGUGUCCCUGUUUGCAUGUACCGCAAGAAUAAGGACCGGCUAAUUCCGUGCCAGCAGCCGCGGUAAUACGGAAGGUCCGGGCGUUAUCCGGAUUUAUUGGGUUUAAAGGGAGCGUAGGCCGUUCCUUAAGCGUGUUGUGAAAUGUAGGCGCCCAACGUCUGCACUGCAGCGCGAACUGGGGGACUUGAGUACGCGGGAAGCAGGCGGAAUUCGUCGUGUAGCGGUGAAAUGCUUAGAUAUGACGAAGAACUCCGAUUGCGAAGGCAUCUCACAAAUCCGCGAUUGACGCUGAGGCACGAAAGUGCGGGGAUCAAACAGGAUUAGAUACCCUGGUAGUCCGCACAGUAAACGAUGAUAACUCGCUGUCGGCGAUAGACAGUCGGUGGCCAAGCGAAAGCGAUAAGUUAUCCACCUGGGGAGUACGACCGCAAGGUUGAAACUCAAAGGAAUUGACGGGGGCCCGCACAAGCGGAGGAACAUGUGGUUUAAUUCGAUGAUACGCGAGGAACCUUACCCGGGCUCGAACGGCAGAGGAACAAUCCAGAGAUGGUGCGGCCCUUCGGGGCUUCUGUCGAGGUGCUGCAUGGUUGUCGUCAGCUCGUGCCGUGAGGUGUCGGCUUAAGUGCCAUAACGAGCGCAACCCUUGCCGUCAGUUGCCAGCGGGUAAUGCCGGGGACUCUGGCGGGACUGCCACCGCAAGGUGAGAGGAAGGGGGGGAUGACGUCAAAUCAGCACGGCCCUUACGUCCGGGGCGACACACGUGUUACAAUGGGUGGUACAGAGAGUAGGCGGCCGGCAACGUCCGUCCAAUCAUGAAAGCCAUCCUCAGUUCGGAUUGGGGUCUGCAACCCGACCCCAUGAAGCUGGAUUCGCUAGUAAUCGCGCAUCAGCCAUGGCGCGGUGAAUACGUUCCCGGGCCUUGUACACACCGCCCGUCAAGCCAUGAAAGCCUGGGGCGCCUGAAGUCCGUGACCGCGAGGGUCGGCCUAGGGUGAAACAGGUGAUUGGGGCUAAGUCGUAACAAGGUA
rnacentral:rRNA from 1 species